rnacentral:lncRNA from 1 species
CACAAGCUCCUUUUCCCCGCCCUCUCAGAAGCCGCCCGACAAUCUGUUGCUCCGCGCUUGCCCGCGCGCCCGCGGCUGCCUGUCUUCUCAUCUGUGCGCCCUCGAUUCUAGCGCCGUUAACCCAGUCGCAUCCGUCAAAUCCACCGCACGGCGACGCCCGCCUCCGCCAAAUCUCAACCACCGGCAUGAUCGCUCCUGCGCCGCCCUGACGCCAGAACCCAGUGACCGCUGGCGUCAUCCCCGAAGUCCUACACCACCGCCCUCGUCGCUCAAUCGCCGCCUCGGCAGAGCACUCCAUUGCUUCUCCCCGGCCUUCGUGCCGCUCCUCUUCUCACUCCUGCGCCGCUUCCCUUUCCCCGUCCCAGCCGCUAUAAAAAGGGAAUGCGCGAGCCCGCCGGAGUUCCCUCCGCCAUUGUUGCCUUCCGCCAUUUCUCUUGCUCCCUGCUCAAGCUCCUAGCACCACACCUAAGUUCCUGAGGAACUCUCCUCUCAGCUCCCCUCCAUUUUCCCCAAGCCACCCCAGCCGCUUGCUCCUCCGUGCCGCGUAAGAGCUCACUUGUGAUCCACAAGAAGCACCGCCGCCGCCGGAGCACAGCCGGACUUAGCUGUUGUUCAAAACCUUAGUCCCUCCGCCCAAGUCUGCUUCUUCCCGACCCCAAGCCUUCCUUGUAGGAAGAAGGUAAGCUGCCGACCCCAGUCCGCUUCGCCCGACCCCUCUUAUCCGCCCGACCCCGGUUCCGUCUCGCCCGACCCUAUCUGUUUCGCCGACCCCUCUCCGCCUCGCCCGAGGGCUUGGCUGUGAUCUUUUUCUUCAACCUGAGGGUGUAUGUGUAAAACUUAGAAACCCUUCAGCGCUUGCGUCUGAGGAUCCCUAGUAUACCACAUCCUCUAGUUCAAGGAUCAGAUCAUAAGUUCCUUUCCGACCCUUACCUCUUGAUCUUCACCAGCUCUCUUGAAC